rnacentral:rRNA from 1 species
GACGAACGCUGGCGGCGUGCUUAACACAUGCAAGUCGAACGGAGAGGCCCUGCUUUUGUGGGGUGCUCGAGUGGCGAACGGGUGAGUAACACGUGAGUAACCUGCCCUUGACUUUGGGAUAACUUCAGGAAACUGGGGCUAAUACCGGAUAGGAGCUCCUGCUGCAUGGUGGGGGUUGGAAAGUUUCGGCGGUUGGGGAUGGACUCGCGGCUUAUCAGCUUGUUGGUGGGGUAGUGGCUUACCAAGGCUUUGACGGGUAGCCGGCCUGAGAGGGUGACCGGCCACAUUGGGACUGAGAUACGGCCCAGACUCCUACGGGAGGCAGCAGUGGGGAAUAUUGCACAAUGGGCGGAAGCCUGAUGCAGCAACGCCGCGUGCGGGAUGACGGCCUUCGGGUUGUAAACCGCUUUCGCCUGUGACGAAGCGUGAGUGACGGGAAUGGGUAAAGAAGCACCGGCUACUACGUG